rnacentral:misc_RNA from 1 species
GAUGAAGAACGCAGCGAAAUGCGAUAAGUAAUGUGAAUUGCAGAAUUCAGUGAAUCAUCGAAUCUUUGAACGCACAUUGCGCCCGUCAGUAUUCUGGCGGGCAUGCCUGUUCGAGCGUCAUUACGCCCCUCAAGUCCCCUGCGGACUUGGUGUUGGGGAUCGGCGAGGCUGGUUUUCCAGCACAGCCGUCCCUUAAAUUAAUUGGCGGUCUCGCCGUGGCCCUCCUCUGCGCAGUAGUAAAACACUCGCAACAGGAGCCCGGCGCGGUCCACUGCCGUAAAACCCCCCAACUUUUUAUAGUUGACCUCGAAUCAGGUAGGACUACCCGCUGAACUUAAGCAUAUCAAUAAGCGGAGGA